rnacentral:lncRNA from 1 species
AGGACAGCUCUGCACUUUGUGAGGGGAACUAUAGGGUCUUUGCUCAGCUACUGGUAAUGUGGAAUUUUGUUUUUCUUUUUGUUUAUUGUUCUUCCUCUUAUAUGAGUCUUAUGGAGCUGGAUUGUCACUUCAAAUGACUAAUGUCUUCUAGUUACACCAAUUAUCACUAAUGUAUGACAAAGGAGAAAGGAAAACCAAAGGGAAAAGAAUACAUUUUUCAAAGUGUGUGACUGAGGAAACUACUCUACAACAAAAUCUACUGUUGGCUUACAUUAACCUUACAUUAAACACUCCAAUGUAAAGAGGAACCAUCCGCAUGAGACUUCACAGCCAAAACCCUGCAAGCUCCCUGAAGGCUUCUCCUGAAAUGGCAAAUGCUUGAUUCAAGGUCUGUGAAAAGCACAUCUUCGGUGUCAACCCUGAGGCAUCUCAGCUGACCUCUUACCCAGCUUCUGCUGGAGUAAAGUGAACAUUCUUUCUGCAGCUGCACAAGUUUGAGGGGUACUGCAUUCCCAUGAGACAAACACUGCAGAGGGGAGCUGGGCAUCUGUUUAACACUUUUUCCUUCAUUUUCUUUCCGGUACUGUCUCUUCUUCUUGACACACACACACAUACAGACACACACACACACACACACACACACACACACACACACGAGAGAAAGAAGUAGAACUGAAAUUGCUUCAGUAGCACACAGACCUGCGGUGUUGGUGCCCUCAGUGAAGUUUGUUUCUGCUGGGACUAAUGUUAGGGAGCUAUUUAUAGAUUAGCUCAGAAAUUUCCUUAGUAACAAAGGUUGGAAACAGCUCUGUCCCUGCUGCAGGAAAUUUUCCCGGCUAGCCAGUGGUCUGGUCCCUGAUUCCCCUAGCUUAGGAAUCGUCAAGCCAUGUAGCUUCAGUAUUAUUUUCUUCCACUCUAAACAUAGUUCACGGUUGGAGAACUUUCAUGAAUAUUUACCAGCCCAAUUGUGUAUUGUAUUUUGUUUUGAUGAUAAUGUGUCCUACUGGAGGAGAAUAUUUCACUUGGAUUGCUAGGCAUUGUACUGCAGUGACUAAUGUCUAUACUUGAGUUUCUCAGGCUUUGCGAAUUGUAUUUGUAUUGCAUUUCACAUUUCUGGGCAUGGCCAGAAUCCUAACCUUUCCUUUAAGCAUUUUUUCCUUCCCUUUAUGUUUGUUGUCUUUUCCUUCCCUCCAGCUUGACCAUCUGUCUCCCUCCUUUAGCUUCUGUAGAACCAUAGACUGAGCACCUAGGGGAGAAAUGGCACAUGUCAUCAGAGGAUUCAGUUUUCCAAGGCCAUCUCUGAUCUUUCUAAGUACAGGGUGACUUCCGCAAAGUGUUCUACAUCUUGUUACCAUCUGGGCCUGGUACCUCACCUAGUUAGAGCUCAGCUAACCAGGCCAAGGUCACAGAUGCUGACACCAUAUGAUCCAGUUUAAUUCACAUAGAGAAGAAUUUUAUUAUGUUGCAAUAGUUUGCAAAUUCUAAUGCUGGUGGGUCCAUCUUGGAAAGGAGCUUACGCACGAGGACCUGGUGAGAGCUGGAUUGGAGCCAGCCCCUCUGCAUUAUUACAGAAAAUGCCAAAGCAUAUGUUCUACACUCAGCAGUGAGCAGGCCUCUUAUCCCAAAGUAUCCUAUACAUUAAGCUUUAGAACAGAUAAAUUAUAAGCAAUUGUCUGUUUCCCACUGGUAAGAUCACACAAAAGAAAAUAUGAACCUAAACUUGGU